rnacentral:lncRNA from 1 species
AAAGCCCAGGUCCCGCCUAGAAAACCAUAUUCAAAACCUCUUACAUAAUAUAUUCCCCAGCAGAGAACCUUUUCACUUCUUAGCGAUACAUGCUAAAACUUGUUAGUGGAGACAAAAACAAAAAAAUCAAAAUCAAUCAUAUACUGCAUACACUACAUAUUGCAUACAUCAUUUAAGCCUAACAUCUCUUUUAUAACUGCCUUAUUUCCCUCACA